AUUUGCAGCGCGUGAGACGUCCGUUGAAUAUUUGACAGUCGAGUCUGGAGUUUUAGUCGUGAGUUUGCUACGGAAAAAUAAAGAAAGUGGCAAAAUAUGCACUAUUUGACUUUCCGGAUGAAGGGGCUGUGGACAUAGGCGAAAUAUCAUGGGUGGUAGGGGCAGUAAAUUUAAAAGAUCCUUUUGUAACGUAUAAAGUUAAUUGGCCAAACAAGGGAAGGAUUGUGUCAUGUCCAGGACGGAUUAUAUCAGUCAGUGUUUUCAGACAACAGAGAGGAGUUGGUUUGCAAGAGGAGGCAUUAUCUUGAUGGUGGAGACAAACUGUCGAGCCCGGAGGAGAAAGGGAAGGGGAAAAGGAAGAAACUGAAGAAUCAAGGUCGACGACGACGUAGUAUCGCUGGAUCAUGUCAGCUGAACUCAAGUAAUGAAACCAGGAAUGAAUGCCAUCACCCAUCUUGUGAGCUGUUGAGGGAAAACAACCACAGGCUGCAGAGGGAAAAUGAUUUUCUCAAGGCAAAAAUAGCAACAUUGAAAUUGCUGCCAGACGUUUUGCAGAAGAUGGAGGAGUUUCUUCGCUCAGCACCAAGACCUAUGACAACACCAAUACCAACACCAAGACCAAGACCAAGACCAGAACCAACACUAUCACCAGCACCAACAGCAGUUCCACCACCAGCAACAGAAGACCCAUCACCAGCUCCAGGUCCAUCAUCAGCAACAGAGGCCCUGGGCCACUCUAAGCACUUACCGCACAAGAUCAUCUGAGCUUAUCAAACUCAUCAACCCACUCACCAGGACUACCUUCGGCCGAAACUCCUUUCAUUUUGCAGCAGCUUUUGACUGGAACAAAAUUCAAGACACCCUCAAACUUACAGCUUUCAU
ensembl:lncRNA